UAUUAAAGUUGUUGCAGUUAAAAAGCUCGUAGUUGGAUUUCUGGCGGGAGCGACCGGUCGGCGCUUAACGGCGUGUGCACUGGAGUUGUCUCUUGCCAUCCUUGAGGAGAACGUGUCUGGCAUUAAGUUGUCGGGCUUGGGAUCCUCAUCGUUUACUGUGAAAAAAUUAGAGUGUUUAAAGCAGGCAUUUGCUGUGAAUACAUUAGCAUGGAAUAAUAAGAUAGGACUUUGGUGCUAUUUUGUUGGUUUGCGUACCAAGGUAACGAUUAAUAGGGAUAGUUGGGGGUAUUCGUAUUCAAUUGUCAGAGGUGAAAUUCUUGGAUUUAUGGAAGACGAACAACUGCGAAAGCAUUUACCAAGGAUGUUUUCAUUAAUCAAGAACGAAAGUUAGGGGAUCGAAGAUGAUUAGAUACCAUCGUAGUCUUAACCAUAAACUAUGCCGACUAGGGAUUGGGCGUCGAUAAUUUAAUGUCAUGCUCAGCACCUUAUGAGAAAUCAAAGUCUUUGGGUUCCGGGGGGAGUAUGGUCGCAAGGCUGAAACUUAAAG
rnacentral:rRNA from 1 species